CGCGUAGGCGGCGCGGGCAGUCAACGGUGAAAGCUUGGGGCUCAACCCCGAGUCGGCCGUCGAUACUCCCGUGCUUGAGCACUGUAGAGGCAGGUGGAAUUCCGGGUGUAGCGGUGGAAUGCGUAGAGAUCCGGAAGAACACCGGUGGCGAAGGCGGCCUGCUGGGCAGUAGCUGACGCUGAGGCGCGACAGCGUGGGGAGCAAACAGGAUUAGAUACCCUGGUAGUCCACGCCGUAAACGAUGGGCACUAGGUGCUUGGGGGAGCGACCCUCUGAGUGCCGGCGCUAACGCAUUAAGUGCCCCGCCUGGGGAGUACGGCCGCAAGGCUGAA
rnacentral:rRNA from 1 species